rnacentral:rRNA from 1 species
AUUGAACGCUGGCGGCGUGCUUAACACAUGCAAGUCGAUCGGUAACAGGUGUAGCAAUACAUGCUGACGAGAGGCGGACGGGUGAGUAAUGCUUGGGAAUCUGCCUAUUAGUGGGGGACAACCCGGGGAGACUCGGGCUAAUACCGCAUACGCUCUACGGAGGAAAGCCGGGGACCGCAAGGCCUGGCGCUAAUAGAUGAG